CAGUCACCCGAUCGGUCGCAUCUACGGAGCGCUUACAGAGCACUGUACGAAGCGCUCUGGAGAGUAGAGAAACAGCGUGGCUCAGGGGAAAGAGCAUGGGCUUGGGAGUGAGGGGUCAAGGGUUCAGAUCCCGGCUCAGCCGCUUGUCAGCCGUGUUGACUUUGGGCAAGUCACUUCUCUGUGCCUCAGUGACCUCAUCUGUAAAAUGGGGAUGAAGACUGUGAGCCCCACGUGGGACAACCCGAUUCCCCUGUGUCUACCCCAGCGUUUAGAACAGUGCUCUGCACACAGUAAGGGCUUAACAGAUGCCAUUAUUAUUAUUAACAUAGAGCAAUUAAACAGACACAUCCCCCGCCCACAACGAGCUCGGCCCAAAUGUCUGAAUCGAUCUCCGGGCCCGGGCGCUGGGGCGGGAGCGGGGGGCGCGGGACACCACCCGCGGAGACACAGACACGCACGGAGAGACAGACAGAGCGGGGGAGAGACGUGAGCGGGAGGGCCGAGCCAACACCCCACGACCCCCACCCGCAGCCCCCUCCUAGGCCCUGCCCGCCCGCCCGAUGGGGGACGGGGGCUCGGGGGAGGGGAGACGCCGGCCCCGGCGGGGAGGUGGGGGGAGGGGGGUCCCUCUACCGCCCCAGGUGUCUCCCCCCCCUCCCCCCGCCCCAUCCGGGGAGGAGGGGGAGGUGGGUCACUGGAAGGGGGAGUGGGCGGGGACGGUUAUCCUCCCCCUCCGCCCCCCGGCCUAGGAGUCCGGACCUGCUCUCACGGCACAAGGACCGGUCCGAUUCUCGGGAGCCGGGAGGCUCGCUUCUCGGGAGAUUCCCACCCUCCUGGCUGGGGACCGUCCAUCCCCCCGCCGCAGGCCGCCCCGGGGACCGGCCGGGAUCGUCCCUUUCCACCCCCAGCCCCCGAGGGAGGGAUGGAGGAGGUGGGGGUGGACAGAGGGGGCGGGGAAACAGGAUCCGUCCCCAGAUAUCUUCCCGUCCCCUGGGCGGAGACGUUCGGCAGUCCGCCCGUCCGCUCGGCCCUCCUGUCCCUUCACGUCCACCCGUCCCCUCCGUCCACCUGUCCCUGCCCUGGGGCCCGGGGGCUGCUUCCCGUGGCCCCCGGCCUCUCCCCUCUCUCCCCCCUCCUUCCCAUCCUCCAGCCCCUUCCCCAAUUAUCAUUCCAACUUCGCUCCUCCGGCGAGAGGGCCCGGGGUCCUCUCCCCCGAGGGGGGGGGGGCUCGUCUGCCCCCCGGGACCCUCCCCCUCCCGCGCCGCCCGCCUGGUUUUCGGUACCUCCCGCACCCCCAGACGCCCCGGGCCCGGAGCGCCCUCCCCAUCCCCCGCUUGCUGGGGCUCCCGACCGGCCGUGGAAGACGGAUCGGGGAGGGGCGUGGGAAACGCGGGCGAGGGGCUCAAUAAAGAGGGACGGAACCCCCUCCUCCUCCUCCCCCGACCCACCCACACCCCUGGGCCCCAGACCGGCCGGGAUGGGGUGGGAUAUUGGGGGGGGGGGGUCUCAGGGACGUGGGCGCCGUUCCAGCCCCGGGCCCCACCGGGACCCUCCCCUCGCCCCUCCGCCUGGAUUCUUGGAGAGGAAAAUUCGCUUUCGGGGGGGGAAAAAAAAAAUCAUCAUUUUUUUUGGAUCCAUUUUAUUUUUGGCGAAAACGGAUUUUUCGCUCCGGGACAGAGGGGGGGCGAUCCGCCCCCUCCGUGCCCCUACCCCUACGGCCCCCUCCGCCCUGGGGGUGUCGCGCCCCUCGAAUGCCAUCCCCCCUCGGAGCUUUUGUCCCUCCCAAACCCGCACCCUCCGGCGGGGCGGGCGGCGGGGCGAAGGUGCGGGGGGUCCCCUCCGCCCCGCGUCUGGGCCGGGGGAGGGCGGGGAGGGGGGGGGAGGGAAAAAGGGGAGGGCGGGGGGGGGCGCCGAACCCCGAAACUUAAAGCCAACCCGACUUGAAGCCUCGCCAUCAAGUUUCCCUCCCGCCUCUGCCCGAGCCCCCAAACUCACCUCCGGAGCCGGCGCCGGGGCGCGGGGCGGGGCGGGGGUGGCGCGGCGGGGGGACCCUCCUUAUUCCGCUGCCGCCCCCAUCGCCGGGGACCCGGGGCUCCUCAAGGUCCGGGGGGCAGCGGCUCCCUCCGUGCGGCAUCCGACAGGAGGAGAUCGACUGGCAUCUCCACCAGCGAGGGUACCAGCCCCUAUGCCAGGGCCAUAUGGCGGCACGUCACCGGGCCGGGCUAUCACAUGAGGGACUGUGAUUGGCAUGCGUCUCCACUCGGGAAGAACCAGAUCCCGGGGGAAGGGGCUACCAUCUGUCACUCCGCGCUCCCCCCCCCUAAAAAAAAAUAAAUUAAAUAAAUAUCCCCAUCCCCGCCUGCUCCGCAGAAUCCUCCGACUCCGUGCAGGGGGAGCGGAGGGGGCUUUUUCUUAGGGUUUUGCCCCCCCACCCCCUUUGGAACAAUGGAUGGAGCCGAGGGGAGAAGGGUGGGGGCGGGAGAGGAGGGGGCUUCUCCCCCCCACACCCCCUUUUCCUCCUCCAGCACCCCCCUUCCGCACCGUCCCAUCCCCGCCGGGGUCAGGAUAGGCAGGCCUAGGCCUAGAGCAGACCCUCACCCCCAGACCCCCAGGCCCGAGAG
rnacentral:lncRNA from 1 species